rnacentral:rRNA from 1 species
GACGAACGCUGGCGGCGUGCUUAACACAUGCAAGUCGAACGGAAAGGCCCUGCUUUUGUGGGGUGCUCGAGUGGCGAACGGGUGAGUAACACGUGAGUAACCUGCCCUUGACUUUGGGAUAACUUCAGGAAACUGGGGCUAAUACCGGAUAGGAGCUCCUGCUGCAUGGUGGGGGUUGGAAAGUUUCGGCGGUUGGGGAUGGACUCGCGGCUUAUCAGCUUGUUGGUGGGGUAGUGGCUUACCAAGGCUUUGACGGGUAGCCGGCCUGAGAGGGUGACCGGCCACAUUGGGACUGAGGUACGGCCCAGACUCCUACGGGAGGCAGCAGUGGGGAGUAUGGCACAAUGGGCGGAAGCCUGAUGCAGCAACGCCGCGUGCGGGAUGACGGCCUUCGGGUUGUAAACCGCUUUCGCCUGUGACGAAGCGUGAGUGACGGUAAUGGGUAAAGAAGCACCGGCUAACUACGUG